GGAUUAGAUACCCGGGUAGUCCACGCCCUAAACGAUGUCUACUAGUUGUCGGGUCUUAAUUGACUUGGUAACGCAGCUAACGCGUGAAGUAGACCGCCUGGGGAGUACGGUCGCAAGAUUAAAACUCAAAGGAAUUGACGGGGACCCGCACAAGCGGUGGAUGAUGUGGAUUAAUUCGAUGCAACGCGAAAAACCUUACCUACCCUUGACAUGGAUGGAAUCCCGAAGAGAUUUGGGAGUGCUCGAAAGAGAACCGUCACACAGGUGCUGCAUGGCUGUCGUCAGCUCGUGUCGUGAGAUGUUGGGUUAAGUCCCGCAACGAGCGCAACCCUUGUCAUUAGUUGCUACGAAAGGGCACUCUAAUGAGACUGCCGGUGACAAACCGG
rnacentral:rRNA from 1 species